UCAUCGAGUCUUUGAACGCACAUUGCGCCCAUAGGUAUUCCUUUGGGCAUGUCUGUUUGAGCGUCAUUACAACCCUCAGCGCAAGCUGGUUAUGAGUUGGCUGAACACUUCUGUUUACAGAGGUCGAAGUCCGGCUUUAAAGUUGUAUGCUCUGCUGGCUGCUUCGCCUGACAAAACAUAGUAAAACUUACAUUGUUUACAGAAUGGCUCUGCUUGCUCGGCCUGAAUAAAAUCAACCCUUUCUCAGGUUUGACCUCAGAUCAGACAAGGAUACCCGCUGAACUUAAGCAUAUCAAUAAGCGGAGGAAAAGAAACCAACAGGGAUUGCCUCAGUAACGGCGAGUGAAGCGGCAACAGCUCAAAUUUGAAAUCUGGGAUUUUUAGUCUCCGAGUUGUAAUUUGAAGAGGAUGUUUCGGUUGGGACCUGGGCCUAAGUUCCUUGGAACAGGACGUCGUAGAGGGUGAGAAUCCCGUACACGGCUCCCGGUCUCCUUCCAUGUGUAACUCCCUCGAAGAGUCGAGUUGUUUGGGAAUGCAGCUCAAAAUGGGUGGUAAAUUUCAUCUAAAGCUAAAUAUUGGCGAGAGACCGAUAGCGCACAAGUAGAGUGAUCGAAAGAUGAAAAGCACUUUGAAAAGAGAGUUAAACAGUACGUGAAAUUGUUGAAAGGGAAGCGCUUGCAAUCAGACUUGCCUUCAGUUGAUCAACGUUCCUUUUGGUUCGUGCACUCUGCUGUUUGCAGGCCAGCAUCAGUUGGUGCGGUGGGACAAAGGUUGCGGGAAUGUGGCUCACCUCGGUGAGUGUUAUAGCCCGUUUCGUAAUGCCACCAGCGCCGAU
rnacentral:rRNA from 1 species